AUGGUUCAACUACUCAGUGACCUAGGAAGCCCUAUAAAAGCAUGCAAACCAACAAGUUCAACUCUUUGUCUUCACUUUAUUGCUGCACACGCUUAAAAAUGCAGGGUGAUGGUGACCGUGAGGGCUUAGAUGCAGAGUCUCUAGUCAGCGGACACAUCCAAGUGGACACGACACCUAAUAUGUGCUGAUGAAUUUACAGAGCUCAUGGCUGGAUUGGCCCAUACAUGAGCUCCCCCUGCCACACUGAGAUAGAUGAUCCUCACUAAGAAGGAACAGACUGUUCCAAAGCCAGAAGAGGAGGCUGCAUAGAAGAGGAGGAUAAUCCCUGAAGAAACGGAAGAAACAAAAACUCAUGGCACAGGAUUAA
rnacentral:lncRNA from 1 species